rnacentral:rRNA from 1 species
UACGUAGGUGGCAAGCGUUGUCCGGAUUUACUGGGCGUAAAGAGCGCGCAGGCGGUCGUUCAAGUCGCGUGUGAAAGCCCCCGGCUCAACUGGGGAGGGUCACGCGAUACUGAUCGACUCGAAGGCAGGAGAGGGAAGUGGAAUUCCCGGUGUAGUGGUGAAAUGCGUAGAUACUGGGAGGAACACCGGUGGCGAAGGCGGCUACCUGGACGGGUACUGACGCUGAGGCGCGAAAGCUAGGGGAGCAAACAGG